rnacentral:lncRNA from 1 species
UAUUAGAGGGGCACGGUAAACCCUGUUAUAUUUUACCUUGGUACGAGAGGCGCAGAGGGUAUCUCCUAAGGUAACAUUAGAGUUCACUUCACGCCGAACCACCACGUGAAGGUGAAACUCAGCCAACGCCAAGGAAUAGCUGUGCUUUUAAAUGUAAAAGAAUGAGUUUUAUACUCAUAUGUUAUUUUAACAGCUUUGGCG